rnacentral:rRNA from 1 species
UUGGAGGGCAAGUCUGGUGCCAGCAGCCGCGGUAAUUCCAGCUCCAAUAGCGUAUAUUAAAGUUGUUGCAGUUAAAAGCUCGUAGUUGAAUUUCGGGGUUAGUAGGUUGGUCAUGCCUCUGGUAUGUACUGGUCUCACUGAUUCCUCCUUCCUUAUGAACCGUAAUGCCAUUAAUUUGGUGUUGCGGGGAAUUUGGACUGUUACUUUGAAAAAAUUAGAGUGUUUAAAGCAAGCUAACGCUUGAAUACAUUAGCAUGGAAUAAUGAAAUAGGACG